rnacentral:rRNA from 1 species
AAUCAACGCUGGCGGCGUGCCUAACACAUGCAAGUCGAACGAGAAAGGGGACUUCGGUCCCUGAGUACAGUGGCGCACGGGUGAGUAACACGUGACUUAUCUACCCUCGAGUGGGGAAUAACUUCGGGAAACCGAGGCUAAUACCGCAUAAUACCCACGGGUCAAAGGAGCAAUUCGCUUGAGGAGGAGGUCGCGGCCCGAUUAGUUAGUUGGCGGGGUAAUGGCCCCCACCAAGACGGUGAUCGGUAUCCGGCCUGAGAGGGCGCACGGACACACUGGAACUGAAACACGGUCCAGACUCCUACGGGAGGCAGCAGUGGGGGAAUUUUGCGCAAUGGGGGAAACCCUGACGCAGCAACGCCGCGUGGAGGAUGAAGUCUCUUGGGACGUAAACUCCUUUCGAUCGGGACGAUUAUGACGGUACCGGAAGAAGAAGCCCCGGCUAACUUCGUG